rnacentral:rRNA from 1 species
AUUGAACGCUGGCGGAAUGCUUUACACAUGCAAGUCGAACGGCAGCACGGACUUCGGUCUGGUGGCGAGUGGCGAACGGGUGAGUAAUGUAUCGGAACGUGCCCAGUCGUGGGGGAUAACGUAGUGAAAAUUACGCUAAUACCGCAUACGAUCUAUGGAUGAAAGCGGGGGAUCGCAAGACCUCGCGCGAUUGGAGCGGCCGAUAUCAGAUUAGGUAGUUGGUGGGGUAAAGGCCCACCAAGCCAACGAUCUGUAGCUGGUCUGAGAGGACGAGCAGCCACACUGGAACUGAGACACGGUCCAGACUCCUACGGGAGGCAGCAGUGGGGAAUUUUGGACAAUGGGCGAAAGCCUGAUCCAGCCAUUCCGCGUGCAGGAUGAAGGCCCUCGGGUUGUAAACUGCUUUUGUACAGAACGAAAAGGUUUCUACUAAUACUAGGAGCUCAUGACGGUACUGUAAGAAUAAGCACUGGCUAACUCUGUGCCAGCCGCCGCGGUAA